UCAGGCCUAACACAUGCAAGUCGAGCGGCAGCGGGAAAGUAGCUUGCUACUUUUGCCGGCGAGCGGCGGACGGGUGAGUAAUGCCUGGGAAAUUGCCCAGUCGAGGGGGAUAACAGUUGGAAACGACUGCUAAUACCGCAUACGCCCUACGGGGGAAAGCAGGGGACCUUCGGGCCUUGCGCGAUUGGAUAUGCCCAGGAGGGAUUAGCUAGUUGGUGAGGUAAUGGCUCACCAAGGCGACGAUCCCUAGCUGGUCUGAGAGGAUGAUCAGCCACACUGGAACUGAGACACGGUCCAGACUCCUACGGGAGGCAGCAGUGGGGAAUAUUGCACAAUGGGGGAAACCCUGAUGCAGCCAAGCCGCGUGUGUGAAGAAGGCCUUCGGGUUUAAAGCACAUGAGCGAGGAGGAAAGGUCAGUAGCUAAUAUCUG
rnacentral:rRNA from 1 species